rnacentral:lncRNA from 1 species
AGCGGGCAAGCCCCCGACCCUGCGCCUUGGUUGGAACGCUGGACGGAGCAGGGCAAGCCCCCACACCCUAACCCCGCAAUGCCCCUGCCUCAACCAAGCUUCACAAUCAUCAUUGGGGAUUACAGUAUUAAAUUGUUUGUUUAAAAUUAUUUAUAUACAUAUACAGUAUAAGUUUUAAUGUCUUUUGUCUGGCGGAAAAAAAAUUCCCUGGAACCUAACCCCCACUAUUUACAUUAAUUCUUAUGGGGAAAUUAGAUUCGCUUAACAUUGUUUUGCUUAAAGUAGCAUUUUUCAGGACCAUAACUACAACGUUAAGCGAGGAGUUACUGUAAAUCAAACUCUAAGGGCCAAAUCCUGCAGCCUUACAACCAAUGGCAGCCUCUUCACUGACUUCAGUGGGCUUUGGGUCAGGCCCCAAGUGCUCCUCCAUUAGUUCUACCGGUGCACUGAGCACCUGCAAGGGAGUGGUGACUGACUAGAAAUCUUCCAUCACUGACUGAUAGGAGGAAAGUCUCUUUGAACUGAGUAUGUUAGCUCAGUACGGCUGAGCCCAUGGAAGUCCUCAGCUGCCGCUUUACUUACUGUGGGCUGGAGGUGACUAGCUGAUGCAGCGUUUCAGAUGGGAAAGGGGAGGCUGGUAAGCAGAAGAGGGAAGUCACCUCUCCCCAGUCACAUGUGUGCUGCGCUGGGGGAAAGCAGGACACCUCUCCUACUCCUGACCAUGAGGAAGCGAAUGCGAUUUCUGAUUUAUUUAUUUUUUAUUUGACAUGAAUCAGAUAAUGAAUAGGGCCUAUCAUAAACAAGAAUGAAGCCCGUGGAGCUACACCAACUUCUACUGGCUGCAGAUCUGGCCUCACUGUGGAAUUCAGCUGUGUAUGAUCCCUUCCUUAAUCAAGCUUUUGUGACAUUUAUCUGGCAACUAACACACGCCCAUACCGCAGGGGAGCUUCUUAAAGGACUCACCAUGGGCCAAGAAAUCCACUCUGGUUCCAGCCUUGCCUGACUUUGCAAGUGUUUUGACUGGUAAAACCUGGCUGAAAUCCACCACAGCUCCUUCCAUUGCACUGCGCUGGCCCAUCACAUUGAGGCUUGGCUUUGGAGAGGACUUCUUUCGCUCUCAGACCCCAGAGCGUUCUUGGAUGAGAAGGGGGCUGUCAGAUACUCUUCAGGCUACGAUGUUGAGGAGACUCAUUACUGGGUUGGUGAAAGAUCACUCAGAUGGGUCAAUGUUGGGCAGACUAAAUCUGAGUCUGAGUUGUGCUGGCCAGAUAGGCUCCACCCAGAGUGACAUGUUGCCACUCACGUUUCCCUACCACCUGCGCUUAUUCUAGUUCUAUAGGGCUCUACAGUACAAGCAGUUCUAAGCCGGCAAACUGACCUCGUAGCGAACCUCCAACCUGAAACCAAAUGUCAUUUGUCUACUAUUCACCUGAUCUCUCGCUCUUCUUAACAAAAAAACUAUUAACGUAUCUACUCGAUCAUAAGCUGGUUCGUUUAUAAGCCGACCCCCCACAAGA